AGAAAAUUUACAAGGAUGUCUUUGAUCAAGUUUUUAAAAUUUAAAGGAUGUUUUAAGUUUAGUAACAUAUUAUAAGGAUGAAAUUAAAGUUUGGGUGAAAUAAUAAGGAUGAUUUUGGUAAAGAAUUCAGAUCUAUUAGCUGCCAACAAUAGAUCUAAGCUCCCAUUAGAUAAAUAUCAAACCUUAAAUCAUCAAAUCUUGAGAGUUAACUAUUAUUAGGGACCUCAAAGCUUUCAACCCAUAUCAAAAUCUCUCUGCCUUUGAAUGAUAAGCAUAAGUUUCAUGCUUCAACAAAAUAGAUAACUCUUGCCUAUUUUCUAGCAGAAAUAUGCUCAAAUACACAUUAUUGCAUCGUUUUUUUGACUCCAUCAUCCCCUGAUCGCCUCUUGCAGAUUGAGUCUCAAUGAGACUGAUAUCAUACACUAAGAACGAAAAAGCAGUUGAGAGAACCAAAAGACCAUGCCCCUACUGAAAUUUCUUUUAAAGCUGAAUAACAAAGGCCCAACUUCGUCCCAAGUCCCAAGACUAUUGUUGUAGUAUCAUGGGUUGUCCUUGGCUGAUUCCAGAAGCCAGACACUACUCUUCUUUUUAGAUGCUGCUGGUGGUUACGGAAGAAAAUACAGCCCGAUGAUGCCACAAGCCCCACGAGCAGUGGCGGAUGUACAUGUAUUCCAGGGUUCAUCCGAACCCUCUUCGUCAGAAAAUUAUACUAUUUUUACAUGGUAAAAAUUUUUUUAUGUAUAAAUAAUGGAGGCUGAAUCCCCUUGACUAGUCCAUAUAUGUACUACUGAACCCCCUCAUUGAAAAUUCUGGAUCCACCCCUGCCCACGAGGUAACCAGCUAUAGCUCCAUAAGUCACACAAAUAGGCCAUUCCUACGUGCAAAUACCAAUUUCCAUGAAUGAGGACAAACCAUUUACUAAAACAUUUUCCAA